UUUCCGUAGGUGAACCUGCGGAAGGAUCAUUACUGAGGUACGCUCGGUGUCGCGUCAGCGCGCCGGUUACCCGCCCAUAUGUCAUAUGUGCUGGGGCCCGCCUUAGGGGGGGACCCAGGAAUAUAACUUCGGUCGAGGUGUUGCGUCGGGCACCUGCUUCGGCAGGGCCAGGCGCGACCGCGGCCGGCCUCAUUUUACACUCUUGUGAGAAGAUGAAGUCUGAAGCAAAUGCGAAUUAAAGCAAAACUUUCAACAACGGAUCUCUUGGCUCUGGCAUCGAUGAAGAACGCAGC
rnacentral:misc_RNA from 1 species